AUGGACCUUAUAUACAGCAUAUGCAGCAUUGUUGGUUGGUUACAUGGACCAAGCUCAGCGUUUUAUCCACUUGUGAAAACUGGUUGGAACAUACGGAUACUUUUCCAAGAGUUCUUCAUGCUACUUGAAGAAGGAUUUCCUAAGCCAUGGUAUAUAUUAGCAUGGAAGACCGAUGUGUCCCCUGCAAAGGAAGUCAAAAUUUCUCAAGUUGAUUCCCCUCAAUAGUCUUUCAGGAGGAAAGUUACACAAGUUGAGAAAAGAGUAAUCAUAUCGAGAGAUCAGCACUGGAAAAUGCUUUCUGGGUCAGAGUUACAAUACCUACCAAAAUGGUGAGUUUUAUGUUACCCUGCUGUGUGCCUACAUGGUUCCUGAAAUGUUGCUAGAGCCAAAGAAAUUUGGCAGUUCAGUAUGAUGUUUGAAAUUCUAAAGCUAGUACUCCCCUCAGAGAAUUAGAAAUGAAAACAAGUCUGCCUGCUGAUGGAACAGGAUGACAGAGCCCCUGCUUCUUCCAUCAGGAAUGCUCUGUUCAUUUUUCUCCUGCACCAGUCAUUAAUCAUUCCUCUUUCAACUUUCAUUUUCACAGACUCACUAUCUACAUAAAUGAGGGUGAGAUACUGAGGUAAAAAAAAAAAAAAAAAAGUUGCAGGAUUAACAUUUGUGCUUCUUAAAGCCCAUUUAAAGAUUACUUUCUCGGGACAGAAAGUGACUGCUUUUACUAGCAGCAUGGUAUAGGCUUUUUGUUUUGUUUUGUUUUGUUUGGGGAGGAGGAGGGGAGAGGUUGUAUUGUAUUGUGUAUUGUAUUCCAGUACACACCACACCACAAUCAGAAAACCAAAUAUUCAUCACUUUACAUAAGGUUCUUAUCUGAAAAUCUUUCUUGUGCUAGAUAAAGAAUCUCUAUGGCAAAAACGUUUUGAAUGUAACAAAAACAUUUAUGCUUAAAUGGGCUAUAAAAGUCACAGAGCCUUCCAUUAAAUCAGAGCUGUCAUAAACAAAAUAUCCAGUCCUAUUUAAAAGAACUGUUUCAUGUUGUUUGUGCUGCCAACUUGCUGAUCUUGCAUAAACUUAUUCCCUUAAUAAUGAGUUGGUUAGAGUAACACCCAUCAUCCAAAAAUGUGUUACCUUGUAGGAGAUCUGCAUUUUAAUCAGCUGAUGAAACAGAUGUGGGAGGAUUGUCAUGAGCUCUUUCUGAAAUCAGAGAGAAGCCACAUCAGAUCUAUGGUAAAAAAAAUGCCAUCAAGUUGGUUUCGUGUUUUUUUUCUUUUCUUUUUUUUCCCUGACCAGUAAGAAACCAACUGAAAAUUUAACCUUUAUAAGCAGAGAAAGUCCUAAUUGAAGGGCUUGAAUUGAAUAAUUUUAUUUAAUGAAUUUUGCAGAAUGUUUUAUUAAAAAAAAAAAAAAAAGUUGAAAUUUUAGGUAUGUUAUAGGAAUAUAGCAAAAUGUAUAGGUCAAUCCAAGGGAGAGAAACUAAAAGUAAAAUGAAAUUCCGUGAUAGACAAAUGUGUAUAACUCAUAAUUGUUUAAAUAUAUGUAGCCAAAUAAUAUGGUGUAAAAGAGAGGAUAUAUGGGUCACAGCUUGGAUACAAAUCGCAUGUAUUCCAGUUAGCUUGUUUGGAUACUAGAACAGUGUGGAUGUGGUAGCAUGCAAGCAGGUUAAAUUGUCCCUCUUCCAGUUCCUACGAGCAGGCUGCCUGAGCUCUUCAGAUAUUGUGUUCUAAUCUGUGCUUAGCUGUGGCAUACCUUGACUGGGGAACUUUCUAUCAGUUACACCUGAUAUUUUAAAUUCCUAUCAUCCUUCAUACUUGGCCAUAGAAAUUUUGUAGCAGUUGAACAGGAACAUGAUAAUGCAUCUGAAAUUAAGCACACCUUAAACCCUUUUUUCCUUGUGAUAGAUUACUGGGUGGGAAAUGGUCUACUUAAAAAUAUGACAAAUAAUAAGAACUUUCUCCCUUGUAGUUGUAAACAGAUUUUAAUCUUAGACAAAUUACAAAUAUAUAUAUUAUAUAUAUUUUAGACAGACCAGCUGCUUCUAUAUGCAUUUUUAGUCAUGCACAAAUAAAAGCAAAGAUAAACAGCCA
rnacentral:lncRNA from 1 species